ensembl:snRNA U2 U2 spliceosomal RNA
AUCACUUCUCAGCCUUUUGGCUGAGCAGUAUCUGUUCUUAUCACUUUAAUAUCUGAUACAUCCUCUAUCCGAGGACAAUAUAUUAAAUGAAUUUUUGGAGCUGGGAGUUGGGGUAGGAGCUUUCUCUGUCCACUCCACGCAUUGACCUGGUAUUGCAGUACCUCCAGGAAUUGUGCACCCCUU